rnacentral:rRNA from 1 species
GGUCAGCGACUUAUAUUCUGUAGCAAGGUUAACCGCAUAGGGGAGCCGGAGGGAAACCGAGUCUUAAUUGGGCGUUAAGUUGCAGGGUAUAGACCCGAAACCCGGUGAUCUAGCCAUGGGCAGGUUGAAGGUUGGGUAACACUAACUGGAGGACCGAACCGACUAAUGUUGAAAAAUUAGCGGAUGACCUGUGGCUGGGGGUGAAAGGCCAAUCAAACCGGGAGAUAGCUGGUUCUCCCCGAAAGCUAUUUAGGUAGCGCCUCGUGAAUUCAUCUCCGGGGGUAGAGCACUGUUUCGGCUAGGGGGCCAUCCCGGCUUACCAACCCGAUGCAAACUGCGAAUACCGGAGAAUGUUAUCACGGGAGACACACGGCGGGUGCUAACGUCCGUCGUGAAGAGGGAAACAACCCAGACCGCCAGCUAAGGUCCCAAAGUCAUGGUUAAGUGGGAAACGAUGUGGGAAGGCCCAGACAGCCAGGAUGUUGGCUUAGAAGCAGCCAUCAUUUAAAGAAAGCGUAAUAGCUCACUGGUCGAGUCGGCCUGCGCGGAAGAUGUAACGGGGCUAAACCAU